CAGUGAUGCUCUGGAAAGCGCACCGACCCUUUGGGCUGGUGCCACCGAAGGGGUAACCCCGCUGCACCGCCGAUAUCGGUGGCGCCUCGGGGAAAACUCUCAGGUUCCGCGACAGAGGGGGCUCC
rnacentral:ncRNA from 2 species